rnacentral:sRNA from 1 species
GGUUGGGGGCUGGGUUAGAAUCACUGCCCUGAAGGGAGGAGGGUCCGUAACCCCCCAGAGUGAAGUUCUCAUCGUUCAGAACUGGGCUAAUAGGAUCGGGUCCAGCCUGGGGAAGUUUCUCCAUUGUGCUUCACAACUUUGUGCUUUGUUGCUACAGGAACGAGAUACAAGUUCAGUGGCCGUGAAUCUGCCUGUGCCCAGUGGCGUUGCUUUCCCCGCUGUGUUCCUUCGCUCGCGGGACACACAGGGGAAAUCAGCAACAUCUGGUAAGAGAAGCAUCUUUGCCCAGGAAAUUGCGGCAAGGAGGAUAGCUGAAGCCAAGGGCCCAUCAGUUGGGGAAGUUGUGCCCAACGUGGGCCCACCAGAGGGUGCCGUGACCUGUGAGACACCCACUCCUAGGAACCAGGGCUGCCAGCUUCCUGGGAGCAGCCACAGCUUUCAGGGACCCAAUCUGGUCACAGGGAAGGGGCUCAGGGAUCAAGAAGCUGAGCAGGAAGCC